GCCGAAGUGGUGGAACUGGUAGACACGCAGUCUUGAGGGGGCUGUGCUUUACGGCGUGAGGGUUCGAGUCCCUCCUUCGGCACCA
rnacentral:tRNA from 1 species